rnacentral:rRNA from 1 species
AUUGAACGCUGGCGGCAGGCUUAACACAUGCAAGUCGAGCGGGGUGAUGGUGCUUGCACUAUCACUUAGCGGCGGACGGGUGAGUAAUGCUUAGGAAUCUGCCUAUUAGUGGGGGACAACAUCUCGAAAGGGAUGCUAAUACCGCAUACGUCCUACGGGAGAAAGCAGGGGAUCACUUGUGACCUUGCGCUAAUAGAUGAGCCUAAGUCGGAUUAGCUAGUUGGUGGGGUAAAGGCCUACCAAGGCGACGAUCUGUAGCGGGUCUGAGGGGAUGAUCCGCCACACUGGGACUGAGACACGGCCCAGACUCCUACGGGAGGCAGCAGUGGGGAAUAUUGGACAAUGGGGGGAACCCUGAUCCAGCCAUGCCGCGUGUGUGAAGAAGGCCUUAUGGUUGUAAAGCACUUUAAGCGAGGAGGAGGCUCUUUUGGUUAAUACCCAAGAUGAGUGGACGUUACUCGCAGAAUAAGCACCGGCUAACUCUGUGCCAGCCGCCACAGUAA